rnacentral:rRNA from 1 species
GUAGGGAAUCUUCCACAAUGGACGAAAGUCUGAUGGAGCAACGCCGCGUGAGCGAUGAAGGCCUUCGGGUCGUAAAGCUCUGUUGUUAGGGAAGAACAAGUACCGGAGUAACUGCCGGUACCUUGACGGUACCUAACCAGAAAGCCACGGCUAACUACGUGCCAGCAGCCGCGGUAAUACGUAGGUGGCAAGCGUUGUCCGGAAUUAUUGGGCGUAAAGCGCGCGCAGGCGGUCCUUUAAGUCUGAUGUGAAAGCCCACGGCUCAACCGUGGAGGGUCAUUGGAAACUGGGGGACUUGAGUGCAGAAGAGGAAAGCGGAAUUCCACGUGUAGCGGUGAAAUGCGUAGAGAUGUGGAGGAACACCAGUGGCGAAGGCGGCUUUCUGGUCUGUAACUGACGCUGAGGCGCGAAAGCGUGGGGAGCAAACAGGAUUAGAUACCCUGGUAGUCCACGCCGUAAACGAUGAGUGCUAA